AACUGGGAUUAGAUACCCCACUAUGCCCAGCCCUAAACAUUGAUAGUAUUCUACACCCGCUAUCCGCCUGGGAACUACGAGCAUCAGCUUAAAACCCAAAGGACUUGGCGGUGCUUUAGACCCACCUAGAGGAGCCUGUUCUA
rnacentral:rRNA from 1 species